rnacentral:rRNA from 1 species
GGGUGAGGCAUGAGUCUGGCUGCUUUGCAUAGGGCUGGCUGAAUAUGAAGUGGUCGGUGGGGUUUCGACGUUGUCGGGGUGCGGCGCAUGCGUUUCACCUCGCGACUCGUCUCUUCGCUGGGCGUUUCUCGGCCGCCAUUCGGUGUCUAGUCGGUCACCCAUUUGACCCGUCUUGAAACACGGACCAAGGAGUUUAAGGUUUGCGCGAGUCAUUGGGUGCGAAACUCAAAGGCGAAAUGAAAGUGGGACGCUUGGUGUCUGUGACGCGACCCACGCGUGACUCGUUGUGUGUGGAGCAGCGUCGACCCAUGACCAGAACUUGUUCUGUUGUGGAGUCUGAGCGCAAGCUUUGAGACCCGAAAGAUGGUGAACUAUGCCUG